UAUUUAAUUCGAUUCAUAACUGUCAGAAGCGUUGACUCUCUCUGUUCACUUUUGCUGUACAGAUACCAUUGUGUACGAUUUUCAUCUAAUAUCAAUAAUUAUACAUAUUAUUUAUGUGAUAAAUUCUGUUAUUAAUAAUGAAGGUGAAGAUUUUAACAAGAAAUCCGGACGAAUAUUUACGUGAAACCAAGCGUGAUAUUCAUAAACUUCCUAGGAAUUAUGAUCCAUCAUUACAUCCUUUUGAAGCGGCAAGAGAAUAUACAAGAGCUUUAAAUGCGGUAAAAUUGGAUAAAAUUUUUGCAAAGCCAUUCAUUGGUAAUUUGGAAGGCCAUAAAGAUGGUAUAUCAGCUAUUUGUAAACAUCCUAUGCGUUUGUCGGUUCUUCUUAGCGGUGCUUUCGAUGGAGAAUUAAAAAUAUGGAAUUUAUCUAAUAGAACAUCGGAAAGAUCUUUCUUAGCUCAUGAUGGUAUACUUCGUGGUAUUAUAUUUGUUCCAAAUGGACAGCAUUUUAUAACUAUAGGCGAUGAUAAAACCAUAAAGACAUGGAAAGCUGAAAAGCCAUCAUUUGGUGAAGAAGAGGAACCCGUUAAUACUAUUAUUAGCAAAACUCAAUUAAUUGGUAUAUCGCAUCAUCGAAGAGAUCCAAUUUUUGCAACUUGUGGAGAUACUUGUCAACUUUGGGAAGAGACAAGGAAUGAACCGAUACGUACUUUCAAAUGGGGUGUAGAUAGUUUACAUGAUGUUAAGUAUAAUCCUGUUGAAACAAAUUUGUUAGCUGCUUGUUCUAGCGAUCGUAGUAUUAUUUUAUAUGACGCUAGAGAAACAGGUCCAUUAAGAAAAAUUAUAAUGAGAUUACAAACUAAUAAACUUUCUUGGAAUCCAAUGGAAGCUGUCACUUUUACGUGUGCUAAUGAGGAUUAUAACUUAUAUACUUACGAUAUACGUACAUUAAAGAUACCAGUAAAUGUACAUAUGGAUCAUGUAGGUGCCGUAAUAGACGUAGAUUAUUCUCCAACUGGUAGAGAAUUUGUUUCUGGUAGUUACGACAAAUCUAUUCGUAUUUACGAAGUUAAUAAAGGACAUUCUCGAGAGGUUUAUCAUACGAAACGAAUGCAAAGGCUCACCAACGUGGCUUGGUCUCUUGACAAUAAAUAUAUAAUUAGUGGUAGCGAUGAAAUGAAUUUACGUGUAUGGAAAGCUAGAGCCUCAGAAAAAUUGGGUGUGCUUAAACCCAGGGAAAAGACGUCUUUGAAUUAUUGCAAUGCAUUGAAAGAAAAAUUCGCGGCUCAUCCACAAGUACGUCGUAUUGCUAAGCAUAGACAAGUGCCAAAACAUAUUUAUAAUGCCCAAGCUGAGAUACGAACGAUUCGUGAAAAGAGUAAACGAAAGGAGGCUAAUAGACGUGCUCAUUCAAAGAAAGGAACAGUACCAUUCGUAUCGGAAAGGGAAAAGCAUAUUGUACGUCAGGAUGAAUAAGCGAACGCUUUCCAGCCGUUAUGAAAACGUCCAAGUAUCAGCCAAUAGUCGCAUUCGGGGAAAUCAUGACAGUGAUACCCUUUGUUAGAAAGGAAAUAGAGUACGCGCACCCACCUUUACGCUGGCUAGUCGCAACGUGGGCGAGCCGGCGCUGCCGAGCUGUACGUUCAUGUCCGCUGCGGACGAACCGCUUCCACUUCUGGACGUGGGCGACGUCCGACUUUUCAGCCACGAAUUCGAGGACGAAUUCCUGCAACCGCCUCCGCUCCCGGCGAUCGAGUUGUCGCCGGACAAAGAUUUGUUCUGUUGGUGAAAAAAAUGUUCAUAUUAGAGAGAGAGAGAGAGAGAGAGAAUUCUUCGUUUACAGACAGAUCGUUUAUUUCUCUUUAUCGUCGAUGAUUUCUAAACGUAUAAAUGAAUAUCAUGUGACGAAACGUUGAUUUAAUCGACUUCGAUAAAAGUCGAAGAAAACUAUCUAGAGAUUAUUUUUUUUUUUAUAAAAGAUUAGAGGAUCUAUUUAAAAGGCGAAGUUUGUUUCAUUAGAUAAUUAUUUUCAAAAUCAAUGAUUCAUUUUAAUUUUAGACUUUAAUUUCAUAAUAAUAAACUGUGCCUCUCAGUAAGCAACAGUUUUGGUUAAAUUUGUUUUUCCGAAAGUAUUCUCGUGCAAAUGAGCUAAAUCGAGUUUGAGAAAGUACGAUGAGAGAGUAUAAAAGAAUGGGGAUGGGAAAGGACGAUUUUACAGUGUUUCGCGAGGAAAUCAAGUCGGUUGUAUGAAUAAUGAAAGACGCGGGGAAAAUUUACAUGUCUCUGGGAAAACAGAAAAGUCCUUCAUGAAAAAGGAAAAAGGGGUGAAAAAGAGUCGAUAAAUUUUUCAAUGGCUGGACACGAGGAAUACAAUCGUCGCUGUUUCAUCGUAGUCGUCGUUGUCUAGGAAGUUUACUACUUGCCAAUCGCGAAUUCGGGAAAAUCUCGAAGGUAGAUCAGAGAGAAGUCCUGAUGUCUGUGGAUUCAACAUGUGCUCGUAAAACGAAUACUUGAAUAUUCGAGGAUCGUUUCAGAAUCUGACGAUUCCGUGGAAGAUCUCCCGGAGAGAAGAACCGGAUAGCCCGCGAGGAACGAACUGACCGUUUACUCAGAAACGCGACGCCGCCGUGGGACUCGGCUCGAAUUUAUAAUUAACGCGGUGGCCUGUAAAUGGGACACCUACUGGAGUCAGCAGUGCCGUCGUACGUGUACGAGAAAGAGAAAGAGAAAGAAAAAGAGAGAAAGAGAGAGAGAAAGAGAAAGAGAAAGAGAGAGAAAUAUAGUCAAGUAUGCUUCGAUCUUUAUGAAUAGACUCUCCUCUUAUUAAUAAACAUAUAUAUAUAUAUAUAUAUAUAUAUAUAUAUAUAUAUAUACAUGCAAAAGGUAAAAGGAAAAGUUUCGAUUUAUCCUUUCGAAUUUUGAAGCGGAAAUAAGAAAUGUCGAAGGGAAAUAAAAUGAAAAGAAUUAAAUAACCUACCCAGGAGGUUCGAUGUUCCUGUUUGUCCUUGCGAUAGUGUGGUGAGGAUUGCGGCGAGAUUACAUCCUGAAGGAUCGGUUGGCGCUGGAGCUGCGCCACGUACGCCAUACGAAAAGCAUUGCCGACUAUGGUGUUCAAUUCUUCCGCCUAUAAAUAUAGAGAAAUGAAUAAAAAUGAGUUAAUGUUUUGUCCUAAGAUUUGGUUGCAUGUCGAAUGUAUCAUAAUACGAUAUAAUACGAUAAAAAAUUAAAAGACAUAUUUUAUUGUUUUAAUUGUGGUAAAGGAGCAUAAUGUUGUAUAUAUUGGACGAGUUUAAUUUUAGUAAAGUCACUCUUCCUUA